CAGCAGCCGCGGGAAUACAGAGGGUGCGAGCGUUAAUCGGAUUUACUGGGCGUAAAGCGUGCGUAGGCGGCUUCUUAAGUCGGAUGUGAAAUCCCUGAGCUUAACUUAGGAAUUGCAUUCGAUACCGGGAAGCUAGAGUAUGGGAGAGGAUGGUAGAAUUCCAGGUGUAGCGGUGAAAUGCGUAGAGAUCUGGAGGAAUACCGAUGGCGAAGGCAGCCAUCUGGCCUAAUACUGACGCUGAGGUACGAAAGCAUGGGGAGCAAACAGGAUUAGAUACCCCUGUAGUCCCUGUCUAUUAUAA
rnacentral:rRNA from 1 species